rnacentral:rRNA from 1 species
CCUACGGGGUGCAGCAGUGGGGAAUAUUGCACAAUGGGGGAAACCCUGAUGCAGCGACGCCGCGUGAGCGAUGAAGUAUUUCGGUAUGUAAAGCUCUAUCAGCAGGGAAGAAAAUGACGGUACCUGACUAAGAAGCCCCGGCUAACUACGUGCCAGCAGCCGCGGUAAUACGGAGGGUGCGAGCGUUAAUCGGAAUUACUGGGCGGAAAGCACACGUAGGCUGUAUGACAAGUCAAGGGUGGAAUGCCACGGCUCAACCGUGGAACUGCCUUUGAAACUGUCAAACUGGAGUAUGUGAGAGGGCGGCGGAAUUCCUGGUGUAGGAGUGAAAGCCGUAGAUAUCAGGAGGAACAUCAGUGGCGAAGGCGGCCGCCUGGCACAAAACUGACGCUGAGGUGCGAAAGCGUGGGUAGCAAACAGGAUUAGAUACCCGUGUAGUC